ACCUGCGGAAGGAUCAUUGUCGUGACCCUGACCAAAACAGACCGUGAACAUGUCAUCCAUGCCGCCGGGUGAUGGGUCUCGCACCUGUCUCCCGGAACAGGGUGCUGACCCUGUUCGCAGGGGACGCGCCCUAAAAGAACCCACGGCGCCGUAUGGCGUCAAGGAAAACUGAUGCUGCGUUGCACGGACGGGGACCGGCUUGCCGGCUCCACCCUUGUGCAGCGAUUAUCUUUUAAUCCAACAUGACUCUCGGCAACGGAUAUCUUGGCUCUCGCAUCGAUGAAGAACGUAGCAAAAUGCGAUACCUGGUGUGAAUUGCAGAAUCCCGUGAACCAUCGAGUUUUUGAACGCAAGUUGCGCCCGAGGCCUUCUGGUCGAGGGCACGUCUGCCUGGGCGUCACGCCAAAAGACACUCCCCAUCCAUCACAUUGGGGAUGAGGAAGUGGUAUUUGGCUCCCCGUGCAUCUAGGCGCGGAGGGCCUAAGUUGGGGYUGCCGGCGGUGCCGAUCACAGCACAAGGUGGAUGGCGAAAGUUGUUCUCGGUGCUAUGUUUCGGACCGAAAUUGGUGAUACCYUGAGCACCCAUGUACCGAAGCGAACAUUGCUCGGACCGCGACCCCAGGUCAGUCGGGACUACCCGCCGAAUUUAAGCAUAUCAAUAAGCGG
rnacentral:rRNA from 1 species